rnacentral:lncRNA from 1 species
GAGGAGGAGGAGGAGGAAGAGGUGGGGAAAAUUUUCAAGGCAUAAGCUUGACUCGCUACGAAGCAAGCAAGCAAGCAAGCAAGCAAGCAUGCCAGCCAGCUGCGCGAUCAAAUAAUGAAUCUAUUGUAAUAGGAGUAAAAGGUAUUACGAUUCUUAUGAAUGGAGGUAAAUUCAAGGAGAGAAUGAAAAUCGGAAAAGAAAGAAGA